GGGAGAGGAGCGUGGGGCUGGGGAGGGAGAGGAGCGUGGGGCUGGGGAGGGAGAGGAGCGUGGGGCUGGAAGGGAGUUGUGGGGUGGGGUGGAAGAAGCCUUUGGGACCGCAGGGCUGCGUGGCAGGGAAGGAGCUGCGCUGUNNNNNNNNNNNNNNNNNNNNNNNNNNNNNNNNNNNNNNNNGGUCUCGUGCCGUGGGGCGACAGGAGAACCCCCCCCCCAGAUGGGCGCCGCUCCUCCGUGAGCGCAGGGUGCGGACGGUGGUGUUUUGUGCUGACGUCGCCGUGGCUGCGCGUGUGUCUGCGUGUGCAAAAGCCGCCCCGCUGUGCUCCUCCUUGCACGUGGUUGUGAGCGCCCUCCUGGUGCCCGCUGGGCUUCCACACCCCGGGUUGUGCACGGCCCCGCUGUGCUCCGCCGGCCCUCAGCCCCCCUCCUCUCCCCUUGCAGCGCCCAGCAGCGGAGCACGCAGGCCAACAAGAAGCGCGCCGUGCCCAACCAGGUACGGCCCUGGGGGGAGCGGGGACCUGGGUUGGGAGCCCCCCGUGUCGGCCUGGGGGGGCUGGGAUCCACCAGCGCCUUCAUGGGUGGAUUUGGGAUCCUGCAACUCCUUCUUGGAGGUGCUGGGAUCCACCAGCUCCUUCCUGAGGGGAUUUGGGAUCUUCCAACUCCUUCUUGGAGGUGCUGGGAUCCAUCAGCUCUCCUUCGGAGGGGCUGGGAUCCAUCAGCUCUCUCCUGGAGGGGCUGGGAUCCACCAGCGCCUUCAUGGGGGGAUUUGGGAUCCUGCAACUCCUUGGAGGUGCUGGGAUCCAUCAGCUCUCCUUCGGAGGGGCUGGGAUCCAUCAGCUCUCUCUUGGAGGGGCUGGGAUCCAUCAGCACCUUCCUGGGUGGAUUUGGGAUCCUGCAACUCCUUCUUGGAGGGGUUGGGAUCCAUCAGCUCUCUCUUAGAGAGGCUGGGAUCCAUCUGCUCUCCUUUGGAGGUGCUGGGAUCCAUCUGCUCUCCUUUGGAGGUGCUGGGAUCCAUCAGCGCCUUCCUGGGUGGAUUUGGGAUCCUGCAACUUUUUCUUGGAGGUGCUGGGAUC
rnacentral:lncRNA from 1 species